rnacentral:tRNA from 1 species
GGAGAGGUGCCGGAGCUGGCUUAACGGGACGGUCUCGAAAACCGUUGUGGUCAUCGAUCACCGAGGGUUCGAAUCCCUCCCUCUCCG